GCCGGGAUGGCGGAACUGGUAGACGCAGAGGACUUAAAAUCCUCCGGCUCUAAGAGCUAUGCGGGUUCGAUUCCCGCUCCCGGCACCA
rnacentral:tRNA from 1 species